GAGGCCUAAACACUUGUGUGCAGAAGACAUUUUCUUUCUCUUCUGAGUAACUGAAAUAAAAUCUGGCCUUUGUGAAACCCUGGAAAUACCACGACCCUCAACUAGAAACACCAAUACCAGCUCCUCCGCGAGUUUCCAGCUCCACAACCUAAGACAUCAGAGGCAGCAUUGGUUCCUCACGUAGAGUCCAGCUCCGGGACCCUCAUAUUUGAACCGCAGGACCAUCUCAUCCCUGGAUCUCCAGCUGCACAACACUCAAAUUAGAAUAACAUCAGUUCCUCCCCAGGUCUCCACCUGCACGGCCCUCGAACGGGAACGUCAGCUCCUCCCCGGGUCUCCAGCUGUAGGGCCCUAAAACUAGAACAUCAGCUCCCGCCUGGGUCGCCAGCAGCACCACCCUCAAAC
rnacentral:lncRNA from 1 species